rnacentral:rRNA from 1 species
AUUGAACGCUGGCAGCAGGCUUAACACAUGCAAGUCGAGCGGAGUGAUGGUGCUUGCACUAUCACUUAGCGGCGGACGGGUGAGUAAUGCUAGGAAUCUGCCAUUUAGUGGGGGACAACAUUCCGAAAGGAAUGCUAAUACCGCAUACGUCCUACGGGAGAAAGCAGGGGAUCGUCGGACCUUGCGCUAAAUGAUGAGCCUAAGUCGGAUUAGCUAGUUGGUGGGGUAAAGGCCUACCAAGGCGACGAUCUGUAGCGGGUCUGAGAGGAUGAUCCGCCACACUGGGACUGAGACACGGCCCAGACUCCUACGGGAGGCAGCAGUGGGGAAUAUUGGACAAUGGGGGCAACCCUGAUCCAGCCAUGCCGCGUGUGUGAAGAAGGCCUUUUGGUUGUAAAGCACUUUAAGCAGGGAGGAGAGGCUAAUGGUUAAUACCCAUUAGAUUAGACGUUACCUGCAGAAUAAGCACCGGCUAACUCUGUGCCAGCCGCCGCCGUAAAAC